rnacentral:tRNA from 1 species
GCCGGCGUGGCUUAGAGGUAUAGCGGCUGACUUGUAAUCAGCAGGCCGGGGGUUCAAUUCCCUCCGCCGGCU